UCAUUCAUUCACUGAGUAUUUAUUGAACGCC
rnacentral:piRNA from 1 species